rnacentral:rRNA from 1 species
CCUACGGGAGGCAGCAGUGGGGGAUAUUGCACAAUGGGGGGAACCCUGAUGCAGCGACGCCGCGUGGGUGAAGAAGCGCCUCGGCGCGUAAAGCCCUGUCAGCAGGGAAGAAAAUGACGGUACCUGAAGAAGAAGCCCCGGCUAACUACGUUCCAGCAGCCGCGGUAAUACGUAGGGGGCAAGCGUUAUCCGGAUUUACUGGGUGGAAAGGGGGCGCAGACGGCGAUGCAAGCCAGGAGUGAAAGCCCGGGGCCCAACCCCGGGACUGCUCGUGGAACUGCGUGGCUGGAGUGCAGGAGGGGCAGGCGGAAUUCCUGGUGUAGCGGUGAAAUGCGUAGAUAUCAGGAGGAACACCGGUGGCGAAGGCGGCCUGCUGGACUGCAACUGACGUUGAGGCCCGAAAGCGUGGGGAGCAAACAGGAUUAGAUACCCCAGUAGUC